rnacentral:rRNA from 1 species
ACCUUCGGGCCUCUUGCCAUCGGAUGUGCCCAGAUGGGAUUAGCUAGUAGGUGGGGUAAAGGCUCACCUAGGCGACGAUCCCUAGCUGGUCUGAGAGGAUGACCAGCCACACUGGAACUGAGACACGGUCCAGACUCCUACGGGAGGCAGCAGUGGGGAAUAUUGCACAAUGGGCGCAAGCCUGAUGCAGCCAUGCCGCGUGUAUGAAGAAGGCCUUCGGGUUGUAAAGUACUUUCAGCGGGGAGGAAGGGAGUAAAGUUAAUACCUUUGCUCAUUGACGUUACCCGCAGAAGAAGCACCGGCUAACUCCGUGCCAGCAGCCGCGGUAAUACGGAGGGUGCAAGCGUUAAUCGGAAUUACUGGGCGUAAAGCGCACGCAGGCGGUUUGUUAAGUCAGAUGUGAAAUCCCCGGGCUCAACCUGGGAACUGCAUCUGAUACUGGCAAGCUUGAGUCUCGUAGAGGGGGGUAGAAUUCCAGGUGUAGCGGUGAAAUGCGUAGAGAUCUGGAGGAAUACCGGUGGCGAAGGCGGCCCCCUGGACGAAGACUGACGCUCAGGUGCGAAAGCGUGGGGAGCAAACAGGAUUAGAUACC